rnacentral:rRNA from 1 species
GUAGGUGGCAAGCGUUGUCCGGAAUUAUUGGGCGUAAAGCGCGCGCAGGCGGUCCUUUAAGUCUGAUGUGAAAGCCCACGGCUCAACCGUGGAGGGUCAUUGGAAACUGGGGGACUUGAGUACAGAAGAGGAAAGCGGAAUUCCAGGUGUAGCGGUGAAAUGCGUAGAGAUUUGGAGGAACACCAGUGGCGAAGGCGGCUUUCUGGUCUGUAACUGACGCUGAGGCGCGAAAGCGUGGGGAGCAAACAGGAUUAGAUACCCUGGUAGUCCACGCCGUAAACGAUGAGUGCUAAGUGUUAGGGGGUUUCCCGCCCCCUUAGUGCUGCAGCUAACGCAUUAAGCACUCCGCCUGGGGGAGUACGGCCGCAAGGCUG